CAAGCAAGACUACCCGCUGAACUUAAGCAUAUCAGUAAGCGGAGGAAAAGAAACUAACU
rnacentral:rRNA from 1 species